rnacentral:rRNA from 1 species
GACGACGCUGGCGGCGUGCCUAAUACAUGCAAGUCGAACGAGUGGCGGACGGGUGAGUAACACGUGGGAACCUACCCAUCAGAGGGGGAUAACUACUGGAAACGGUCGCUAAUACCGCAUACCAUCGGAUGUGCCUAGAUGGGAUUAGCUAGUAGGUGGGGUAAAGGCUCACCUAGGCGCCGAUCCCUAGCUGGUUUUAGAGGAUGACCAGCCACACUGGAACUGAGACACGGUCCAGACUCCUACGGGAGGCAGCAGUGGGGAAUAUUGCACAAUGGGCGCAAGCCUGAUGCAGCCAUGCCGCGUGUAUGAAGAAGGCCUUCGGGUUGUAAAGUACUUUCAGCGGGGAGGCGUUACCCGCAGAAGAAGCACCGGCUAACUCCGUGCCAGCAGCCGCGGUAAUUC